rnacentral:tRNA from 1 species
UGUAGAGUGGUGUAAUGGCAGCACAACAGGUUUUGGUCCUGUUUGUCUUGGUUCGAGUCCAGGCUCUACAA